AUGGAGCACAAAGCCGGAUUCUGCCCUCUGGAAGAGUGGUAGCAGCCAGGAGCGAGGAUGUCACAGCUGCACUGUGCUGGAUGGGAGCAGCUGGAGGAGAAGUCCCCUUUCAAAGCACACCUCCUCUCGUUCUCCUUGAAACAGUUUGUUGAAUCACUGCGAAGCAUCGAGGCUUUAAUGGCUGCUUUGGAGGUGUCUGGCCACACAGCAGAUCCACGGGGUUAGAUAUAUGUAUUAAAAGGGGGAGGAGAAGGCAUCCCAGCCCCGACGCAGACUCAGGUCCUGAUUCUGCCCUGCUGCAGUGCAAGGAUUUCUAGCAGUGCCUCAAUAAAGCUCAGAAAUGCUGAUCUCACCUCUCCUCUGGUAACUCGGCGUUUGCAAUGCACAGAGCAGAGCUGAGCCAAGCCUCACCUGGCAGCAGCAUACAUUUUGCUUUUUAUCAGAGCCACCUCCACACUCCUGUGACAGUCUCGUUAGCUCUAAUAGCCAGGCUGGGCUCCGAGCAUCAGCGCAGCCCUGCUUGUACACCGAUGGAAAAUUAAAGGAGCUUUUCUCCAUCUUCUUCGGUAUGAGAACGCAGCUGAGGAUCUUUCAGCAUUUGGAGAACUUUUGGUCAAUUGAAGCAAACCAAACAUACCUAGAUGCUUUUACGACUGUUUCAGAGCAGUGUCUUUUUGAAGCUAAUACUCCACCAGGGAGCACAGCUCGCAGACAAAAGCCGUCUGAAGCGCCUUGAAGAGAUCUGAGCCUUGGGUUCUGCACUUUGCUGCUUAUAAACAAUCAUUUCAAUCUGCCGGGCCGCGGCGGGAGUAUGAGGCUUCAUAAAAGGGCUUAGGUGUUGUAAUACUGAGCACAGCAGCGUUCUGCUGGGUGUCUCGCUCUCCAGCCUCCCCGUGCAGUCCAGAAGAUUUAGACACAAAGAACCAGAUCCGUGCAGGCCAGCAGGGAACCACUUUAGGAAACGCUGAAGAGAGCACAGCCCAGCUGUGCUGAGUGAGGUGCCUCUUUCUGAUCAGGUUUCAAGCCCCAGCUCCCUUCCCAGAGUAGGGACUGAAGCAGCACACACUCAUAAAACAGCAACAGCAAUUAGAGCACUUGCUUAGGCUUUGGAAGGGAAAGAUCCAGGUCUCCUCUUUCACUGCAGAGAUGUGAACUCCCCGCUCCCAGACCCGCGCUACGACUAUUGGGGUAUCCUCCUGAAGCCCUUCUGGCUUUCAUGGAAAGAAACAGAUGAGGUUGAGCCAGGGGAGGUGGACACUUCAGUCAUCCCUGAGCACUCUGGCAGCAGGACAGAGAGCUUGAGCACCUUUCUGGCCCGGUUUGAUGGGUAAUACUCCAAUAAUCUUUAGAGAAGACUGAAGCCUCAGUGAGUGCCACGAACUGGGGGUUCCCAGAGUUAAGCCACACAGGUGUCACCCUCUCUGGUGGCCUGCAAAGCACCAGCUUUUCGUGAAGAAAAGGAAUCGAGCUCAUGGCCUGCCAGCAUAAACUAAUGUUAAAUCACUAGUGAAUUGAAAGUAUUGAGGUGGUCUUCUCCAGGCUUGCUAUGAGAAGACCCACGUUGCCAGGAAAGCAGAAGCCAAGGCGAUUUCUGGCACCCCAGCUUAUCAGAGCAGCCUGCCACCUAGUCCAGCACCACCAGCACUGAGGUCCUGGGCAAGCCAAGAUCUGUUCAACACUGAAGCAUUUACAUAACUUUACUUGAGGAAACUUGCACCUCUGCACAGCCUGCAGAGGAGUUUGGGGAAACCGAGCUCUGGGAUCAGACCCAGUUCUCGAACGGUACUUAGAUACUAACCCAAACAGUUUACAGCAGAGAUAGUCGCCUAAAUAUUUUCCAAAAUCUCAGUCCUUUGGGCCUUAGACUGGCUGGAAAAGAGGCUAAGAAGUGAAGUCACUCAAGGCACUUAAGGCAGCUGCAUACCAGGAGGGACACCGAGUUCCAGCUCUGGUCUCACCCCAGAGCAGCGGUGGUGCAGGUUGCAUCUCCCUGCCCUGCACUGCAAAGUUUGCCCUUACCACGGCCGAAAUUUCAGUCCACAAAAGCUGAUGACACAACAACACUGCGGUGAAACCCUUUGGAUAAUCUUUGACUUUUGCUACCUAGAGGGAAAAUGCUUCAAGUAGGAAUGUGUUUAGCAUAAUAAUGCUAAAACAGUUCCAUUGCAAUGA